ensembl:lncRNA
CCGGGAUUUGGGGUCCUAGUAACAUUGCAGGGUUCAGUCCCGGAACGAGCUCUGUGUGAACAAAAGCUAGAAGUCAAGUCAAGUCUGCUUUACUGUCAAUUCUUCCACAUGUACAGUACACUCAUACAGAGAAUUGAAAGUGCAUUUCUCUCAGACCCUUGGUGCAUACCUUGAUCCAAGAUGGCGGCGCGGUCGGACGCAGUGGCUACUCCAGGUCCCAAAAACUUUGUUUUUAUGUCUGUUAGUCUCAUUUCCGUGUCUUCGAACAGUCUGACCUUUUCGCUAAACCAUCAGAUAAACACUCAGAAACACAUAUAUGCUCGACAGAGCCUUUUGGAAAUCGGCAGUGUGAACAAACAACAGCUUUCGCCAGAGACUACUGAGAAGCUAAGAGGCCUCUGUCUGCUGCUGAAGCCGACCCCCGAGACCGCGGCCUCACCUACAGCAUGAAGCAAGGGAUGUUAAAAACCCUGUGGUGCUUAACACUUUAAAAGUUUGGUAUCAAUUCAGGAAACAUUUAAAAUUUGUAACAUCAUCUCCAGUUGGUCCACUGUGUAAGAAGCAUUUGUUCCCUCCCUCAUCUCUUGAUUCUACUUUUUUAAUAUGGCAUAGCAAAGGUAUACGUUGUUUUGCUGAUUUGUAUUCCAGUGGUAUCUUUGGAAGUUUUACCAAUGUGUCAUCAUUGUAUGGAUUACCUGUGAACCAUUUCUUUAGGUACCUUCAAGUUCGGCACUUUGUUUCAAAAAGUUUUUCUAAUUUUCCCUUCUUACCUCCUCAACAACCAUGGGAUAGAUUGCUUGACUUUAAGCCACAACAAAGAGGGAUUGUCUCAGAAAUUUACAAUUGUAUUCUGGAUCUUUGUAACUACUCAAACUCAAAAACAAAGACAGCUUGGGAGGAGGAACUGGGACAACAAUUCAGUGAGGACUGGUGGCAAGAGGUCAUUGAUAGACUGAGUACUGUAUCAUCUUGUGCACGUCUUGUACUGAUUCAUUUCAAGGUUGUACACAGGGUCCAUUUCUCCAAAGCAAGAUUAUCUACAAUUUUCCCUGGAGUAGAAGAUAAAUGUGAACGAUGUCUUAACCCAUGUUGCCAUUUGAGCCACAUGUUUUUUCUUUGUCCACGGUUACACGAUUUUUGGUCUGGUUUCUUCAACAUAAUUUCAAUUAUAAUAGGAAUACACCUUCAACCUUGCCCCUUAAUUGCUAUUUUUGGGACCCCAGACAAAUCAGAUCAAUUUAAUUGGGCACAGAAAGAAAUUCUCAAAUUCACAUCUUUAUUGGCCAGACGUCGAAUUCU